AUUAUACACCUACCCUUCUACCCCGACCAACUACCCUCCUUGCAAUUUGCCUUAAGUAAACCUUCUGUCUUAUGUAACCAUACCAAACCUAACAUAUCAUACUAAUUUGAGUGUACUGGAUUGAUGUUAACUAUGUUAUGUCUAGUCUACGAGACCAGGCUGGAGAGAGACAUGCAUCAUGGGAGGACGAGAGGGAAUUCUCACAGACGUACAAGUGGGAGAAGAAUUGGAGAUACAUAGAGACAGGUUCUCCUCUAUUGACCCACUAAGUGAGAGCCCGCUGGUAUUUCAAUCAUCCACCUCUCCCACCGUGGGAGUCGUAUGACUUCGGCCGGAGGCCACUACCCAGAUGGACCUGGACAAUCUACAGAACCAGACAUCAAGAUGGUAUGAUCACAUGUGGGAACCACAUGCACCAAGCAUGAAGUAUGAC